rnacentral:rRNA from 1 species
CCUGCCAGUAGUCAUAUGCUUGUCUCAAAGAUUAAGCCAUGCAUGUCUCAGUACAAGCCAAAUUAAGGUGAAACCGCGAAAGGCUCAUUAAAUCAGUUAUGGUUCCUUAGAUCGUACACACAAUUACUUGGAUAACUGUGGUAAUUCUAGAGCUAAUACAUGCUAACGGAGCCCUGACCGGAGACGGAAAGGGUGCUUUUAUUAGAUCAAAACCAAUCGGUGGCGGGUUCGCUCGUCAUCGUACCAUUUGGUGACUCUGAAUAACUUUUGCUGAUCGCACGGUCUCGUACCGGCGACGCAUCUUUCAAAUGUCUGCCUUAUCAACUGUCGAUGGUAGGUUCUGCGCCUACCAUGGUUGUAACGGGUAACGGGGAAUCAGGGUUCGAUUCCGGAGAGGGAGCCUGAGAAACGGCUACCACAUCUAAGGAAGGCAGCAGGCGCGCAAAUUACCCACUCCCGGCACGGGGAGGUAGUGACGAAAAAUAACGAUACGGGACUCAUCCGAGGCCCCGUAAUCGGAAUGAGAACAAUCUAAACCUUUUAACAAGGAACAAUUGGAGGGCAAGUCUGGUGCCAGCAGCCGCGGUAAUUCCAGCUCCAAUAGCGUAUAUUAAAGUUGUUGCGGUUAAAAAGCUCGUAGUCGGAUGUGUGUGUCACGCCGUCGGUACAUCGCUUGCGGUGGUAACUGGCGUGUCGCGACACGUCCUGUCGGUGGGCCAGCCGCUCCGGUGGCGGCCCAACCAUAACCCGUCGCGGUGCUCUUUACUGAGUGUCGAGGUGGGCCGGCACUUUUACUUUGAACAAAUUAGAGUGCUUAAAGCAGGCUAAAAUUUCGCCUGAAUAUUCUGUGCAUGGAAUAAUACAAUAGGACCUCGGUUCUAUUUUGUUGGUUUUCGGAACCCCGAGGUAAUGAUUAAUAGGCACGGAUGGGGGCAUUCGUAUUGCGACGUUAGAGGUGAAAUUCUUGGAUCGUCGCAAGACGGACUAACGCGAAAGCAUUUGCCAAAAACGUUUUCAUUGAUCAAGAACGAAAGUUAGAGGCUCGAAGGCGAUCAGAUACCGCCCUAGUUCUAACCAUAAACGAUGCCAGCUAGCGAUCCGCCGACGUUCCUCCGAUGACUCGGCGGGCAGCUUCCGGGAAACCAAAGCUUUUGGGUUCCGGGGGAAGUAUGGUUGCAAAGCUGAAACUUAAAGGAAUUGACGGAAGGGCACCACCAGGAGUGGAGCAUGCGGCUUAAUUUGACUCAACACGGGAAACCUCACCAGGCCCGGACACCGGAAGGAUUGACAGAUUGAGAGCUCUUUCUUGAUUCGGUGGGUGGUGGUGCAUGGUCGUUCUUAGUUGGUGGAGCGAUUUGUCUGGUUAAUUCCGAUAACGAACGAGACUCUAUCCUACUAAAUAGGCGCAUUUUCGACAUCUCAAAGGCCCGCCGGCUCGUCCUUCGGGACGUUGUCGCGCGCGGUUUUUACUGUCGGCGUACUUAUAAAUCUUCUUAGAGGCACAAGCGGCGGCUAGCCGCACGAGAUUGAGCAAUAACAGGUCUGUAAUGCCCUUAGAUGUUCUGGGCCGCACGCGCGCUACACUGAAGGGACCAGCGUGUCUUCCCAGGCCGAGAGGCCCGGGUAACCCGCUGAACCCCCUUCGUGCUAGGGAUUGGGGCUUGCAAUUGUUCCCCAUGAACGAGGAAUUCCCAGUAAGCGCGAGUCAUAAGCUCGCGUUGAUUACGUCCCUGCCCUUUGUACACACCGCCCGUCGCUACUACCGAUUGAAUGAUUUAGUGAGGUCUUCGGACCGGUACGCGGUGGCGUCUCUGGCGUUGCCGAUGUUGCUGGGAAGAUGACCAAACUUGAUCCUUUAGAGGAAGUAAAAGUCGUAACAAGGUUUCCGUAGGUGAACCUGCGG